rfam:Loxodonta africana unplaced genomic scaffold scaffold_1, whole genome shotgun sequence.
GCCUGGGUAGCUCAGUCAGUAGAUCAUCAGACUUUGAAUCUGAGGGUCCAGGGUUCAUGUCCCUGUUCAGGCA